rnacentral:rRNA from 1 species
ACAACUUUUAACAAUGGAUCUCUUGGUUCUGGCAUCGAUGAAGAACGCAGCGAAAUGCGAUAAGUAGUGUGAAUUGCAGAAUUCAGUGAAUCAUCGAAUCUUUGAACGCACAUUGCGCCCCUCGGUAUUCCGUGGGGCAUGCCUGUUCGAGCGUCA